rnacentral:rRNA from 1 species
UGGGGAAUAUUGCACAAUGGGCGCAAGCCUGAUGCAGCCAUGCCGCGUGUGUGAAGAAGGCCUUCGGGUUGUAAAGCACUUUCAGCGAGGAGGAAGGUGGUGAACUUAAUACGUUCAUCAAUUGACGUUACUCGCAGAAGAAGCACCGGCUAACUCCGUGCCAGCAGCCGCGGUAAUACGGAGGGUGCAAGCGUUAAUCGGAAUUACUGGGCGUAAAGCGCACGCAGGCGGUUUGUUAAGUCAGAUGUGAAAUCCCCGGGCUCAACCUGGGAACUGCAUUUGAAAACUGGCAAGCUAGAGUCUCGUAGAGGGGGGUAGAAUUCCAGGUGUAGCGGUGAAAUGCGUAGAGAUCUGGAGGAAUACCGGUGGCGAAGGCGGCCCCCCUGGACGAAGACUGACGCUCAGGUGCGAAAAGGCG